CUCCACAUUUCAGACCACAAAAACUUAACCUCAUAUUCUGCAUUCUCAAACUCUUUUUUCAUCUAGUUUCUCUCAAUUCUCAUGGCUAUGCAAUCACCUUCCUCAUCCUCUUCAUUUUCCUAUCGAUUCACUUACCAAGUGUUCCUCAGCUUCAGGGGCACUGACACUCGUGACGGUUUUACUGGCCAUCUCUACAAAGCUCUUACUGACAAGGGAAUCCACACCUUCAUUGAUGACCGUGACCUGCAAAGUGGGGAUGAAAUCAAACCAUCACUCGACAAUGCCAUUGAAGAGUCUAGGAUCUUCAUUCCUGUGUUUUCUAUCAACUAUGCCUCUUCUUCAUUUUGUUUGGACGAACUUGUUCACAUCAUUCACUGCUACAAGACAAAAGGUCGUCUCGUUUUGCCUGUUUUCUAUGGCGUAGAUCCUACUCACAUACGACAUCAAAGUGGGAGUUAUGGUGAACAUCUCACUAAGCACGGAAAGAGUUUCCAAAAUAACAAGAAAAACAUGGAGCGGUUGCAUCAAUGGAAGUUAGCUCUGACCGAAGCUGCUAACUUGUCCGGCUACCAUUUUAGUUCUGGAUAUGAAUACAAGUUUAUUGGAGAUAUAGUCAAAUACGUCUCCAACAAGAUCAGUCGUCAGCCCUUACAUGUUGCCAAUUACCCUGUUGGAUUGCAGUCUCGAGUACAACAAGUGAAAGCGCUUCUUGAUAAAGGAUCUGAUGAUGGAGUCCGCAUGUUAGGACUUUAUGGCAUUGGAGGCAUGGGUAAAUCAACACUUGCGAAAGCAAUUUAUAAUUUUAUUGCUGAUCAAUUUGAAUGCUCAUGUUUUCUUGAAAAUGUGAGAGAGAAUUCAGCUUCAAAUCAAUUGAAACAUCUCCAGGAGGAACUCCUUUUAAAAACACUAGCACUGAAAAUUAAGUUAGGAGGUGUUAGUGAGGGAAUUCCUUAUAUAAAGGAAAGGCUGCAUACAAAGAAGAUUCUUUUGAUUCUCGAUGAUGUUGACAAUUUGGAACAACUGCAUGCUUUGGCUGGAGGACGUGAUUGGUUCGGCUGUGGAAGCAGAGUUAUCAUUACCACUCGUAACAAACACUUACUAACCAAUCAUGAGAUAGAAAUUAUCCAUGAAGUAAAAGGGAUGUCUACGGAAAAUGCUCUUGAAUUGUUGAGGUGGAUGGCUUUUAAAAAUUACAAAGUUCCUUCAAGUUAUGAAGAGAUUUUUAACCAUGCAGUUGUGUAUGCUUCUGGCCUUCCAUUAGCUCUAGAAGUAGUGGGUUCCAACUUGUUUGGAAAGAGUUUUGCAGAAUGUGACUCUACAUUAGAUAAGUAUGAAAGAAUUCCACAUGAAGAUAUCCAAAAGAUACUUAAAGUAAGCUUUGAUGCUUUGGACGAAGAACAACAAAGUGUCUUUUUGGAUAUUGCUUGUUUCUUCAAAGGAUGUAGUUUGGCAGAAGUUGAAGAGAUACUUCAACGUCAUUAUGGUUAUCGCAUAAAUAGCCACAUUCGAGGGUUGGUUGAUAAGUCUCUCAUAAAGUGCCACUUGAAUGAAGUGACAUUACAUGACUUGCUAGAGGCCAUGGGUAAAGAAAUCGUCCGGAAAGAAUCACCCAAAGAGCCUGAAAAGCGUAGUCGAUUGUGGUGUCGCGAUGACAUAAUUCAUAUUUUACAGGAAAACAAAGGAACAAGUAAAAUUGAGAUGAUAUAUCUGAGUUCUCCCUCAACGGAUCCCGUAAUAGACUGGAAUGGAAAGGCCUUCAAGAAGAUGACAAAUCUCAAAACACUUAUUAUUGAAAAUGUCUCUUUUUCUAAAGAUCCCAAGUAUCUUCCAAGCAGUUUGAGAGUAUUGAAAUUGAAUGGAUGUUCUACAGAGUCUCUAUCAUCUUGUAUUUGCAGCAAGAGGUUUGAGGAUAUGAAAGUCUUGACAUUGGACAAUUGUCAAUAUUUAACCCAUAUACCCAAUGUCUCAGGUCUUCCAAAUUUAGAAGAAUUCUCGUUUGAAAAAUGUAACAAUUUAAUUGCAAUUCACGAUUCGAUUAGGAACCUAAAUAAACUUGAAAUCAUAAAUGCAUGUGGAUGCAGCAAGCUUGAGAGUUUUCCACCCUUAUGGCUGCCCUCUCUGAAGGAAUUGGACAUCUCUUAUUGUAGGAGACUCAAGAGUUUUCCAGAAUUAUUAUGUAAGAUGACAAAUACAAAAGAGAUUGGAAUGUGUACAACUUCCACAAGAGAAUUGCCAUUUUCAUUUCAAAAUCUCAGCUUAUCACUAAAGGGAUGUAAAAUGCUCAGGUUCUCAAAACAUGAUGAUGUAAUGUAUUCUACAAUGUUUUCAAAUGUGGAAGCUCUUCAUCUCAAUCCUUACUAUCUCCCAUAUGAAUGUCUCCAAAUAGUUCUCAAGUCGUGUGUUAAUGUGAAAUAUCUAAACUUAUCCCUUGGCAAAUUCAAAAUUCUUCCCGAGUGCCUUAGUGAAUGUCACCUUCUGAGGACCCUCCUAUUGGAUUUCAACAGGCAUCUUGAGGAAAUUAGAGGGCUUCCACCGAAUCUCAAAUAUCUUGAUGCAUAUCGAUGUAAAUCAUUGAGUUCCUCAAGUAGAAGAAUGUUAUUGAGUCAGCAAUUACAUGAGGCUGGGUGCACCAAAUUUUCUUUCCCAAACGGAACAGAGGGGAUUCCAGAUUGGUUCGAGCAUCAAAGCAGGGGUCAAUCAAUUUCUUUCUGGUUCCGUAAAAAGAUCCCUUCUAUAAAUUUUAUUAUUAUUCUUCCGGAUGUUGGAUAUAGUUUCGAAUUUAAUUUGUUUGUCAAUGGUUAUGACUGUACAUUUCCAGAAUUUGAAUUGAAUUGGCUGCAGUGUUCGAGACAUACAUAUUUGUUUGAUAUGAAUUUGGAAGAAAAUGUUGAACUCUGUAAAAUAUUUCACGGGAUCAAUUUGGAAUCUGAAAUGGACAAAGCACUUUUAAAAAAUGAAUGGAUCAAUGUGGAGUUUAAGCUUCGUGUUUUCAGUGGGAAUCCUGAGAAAGUGAUUAAAGGGUUAAGAAGUACAGAAAUGGGAAUCCACGUGUGGAAGGAGAAAAGUAACAUAAAUGAGGAUGUGAUAUUCACCAAUCCUUAUAGUAGAAAGAGAGAAUUAGAUGAAUAUCUCAAUGCUUCAUUAUCACAAUUUCAUCCUACUCUGAAAAAGCAUAGAUUUAUGGAAGUCGGAGUUUCAGAGAGAGAAAUUUUGCAGCAGCAACAUCUAGCUUUAGUGAGAAAAAAAAUAAAAAUAAAAAAAGGACAACAUAUAUAUAAAAAAUAUAUAAACUAGAGGAAACCACCACCUAACUUUCUAGUUCUCUCUUUCACCUUCUACUUCCAUUGCCAUCCUUCACCCAUGACCCAAUCUUCUUCUCUCUUUCAAUAACCAAUUUCCUUUCAAAAUUCAAACACUCAUGAGAUGAAUUACAUAUCUAAGCAUAACUUUUCCCUAAUUCUACAAGUACACUUGGAUAAAAUUUGGGAUUAGGGUAAAUGUAGUAAAGAAGUACAAGAGCCCAUUCAUUGAAAGUUGGUCAUUUUGAUUCUUUGAGGUUUUGGGAAGCUUAGAGCCAUAAUAACCAACAAGUACAGUGACAAAUUAGUCUGUAUAUUGCAAGAUUAUGGAACCAAGAAGAUUGUAAUAUGGUGCCACGGUUGUUGCUGUUCAAAGGAAUCCAAAACCAUGGCGAACCUUGUUGCUGCAUUGGGAAGAAAUAAAUUGGAAUCAAUUCCUUUUACUUCGGCUUUUCUGGAAAUAAAUGUGGGAUGCUGCUUUGAAUGUUUAUCCUAGGGUGGUUGGAGAGCAAAUUUAAUCGAUUCGUCAUAUCGAUUUCCAAGCAGCUAAGUAGAGAGCUGCUAGUAGACUCAAGUUCUGCCGCGUCACUUUUUUUUGGAUGCUUCAGAGACAUCAGAAGAAACCAGGUCUGAAGAAAGUAUGGGAAUCCAUCUCUCAGGGCCUCCAGAUGUAUCCCUUCAGUCCCAAACUUCUGAAAGGUGCAGUGGACGUUUGCCACUUUCACGCAGCGUCUAAUAAAUUAUGGCGGAUCCUAGAUGAAUGUUGUUACAAGAAACCAUCUUUAGUCAUCAUGCGACAAGUCUACAGGUCGCUCGUACUUCAGAAUCCGUUGGUUGUUCGAAAGGGCAGUGAGUAUUGAUAUGCUUUGCACCUCAGUUGGAGAGUUUUGAGAAUUUCAAUCUUAGUAGACAAAUUAGAAUCCACUGUGUUCAAGAAGAAAAAAAGCAUGGAGCAGGAUGUGAUAUUCAUCAAUCCUUAUAGAAAGAGAAAAUCAGAUGAAGAACAGAACUUGGAAGUUUCAGAGACAAAACUUGUGUUUUCCAUAUUUGGUAGAAAAGCUAUUUAUCGAACAAAGAAACGGGAGUAUUCUUGUGUUUCGUCAAAGUUCUGGUUUGUAAUUAAUAGCAAGUCUAUUUUUUUUAAUCUAUCUUGAUAUUUUUUUUUUUAAAAAAACAAUGUACUGGUCAUGUAUGUAUGAUUAAAGAGUUUGUACAUAUUUUCAUACCGACAGAUGGUUCAUCACAAUUUCUAUUAGAGUUUGAUUCUUAGUUACCAAAAUAUUACAUUAUGGUAUUUCAAUGUAAUGUAUGUAGCAUUUCAAAA